CCUACGGGAGGCAGCAGUGAGGAAUAUUGGUCAAUGGACGCAAGUCUGAACCAGCCAUGCCGCGUGCAGGAAGACGGCUCUAUGAGUUGUAAACUUCUUUUGUACGAGGGUAAACGCAGAUACGCGUAUCUGUCUGAAAGUAUCGUACGAAUAAGGAUCGGCUAACUCCGUGCCAGCAGCCGCGGUAAUACGGAGGCUUCAAGCGUUAUCCGGAUUUGUUGGGGUUAAAGGGUGCGUAGGCGGUCGGAUAAGUUAGAGGUGAAAUCCCGAGGCUCAAUUUCGGAAUUGCCUCUGAUACUGUUGGGCUAGAGAGUAGUUGAGGUAGGCGGAAUGUAUGGUGUAGCGGUGAAAUGCUUAGAGAUCAUACAGAACACCGAUUGCGAAGGCAGCUUACCAAGCUAAUUCUGACGUUGAGGCACGAAAGCGUGGGGAGCAAACAGGAUUAGAUACCCCGGUAGUC
rnacentral:rRNA from 1 species